UACGAAGGGGGCGAGCGUUGUUCGGAGUUACUGGGCGUAAAGGGUGCGUAGGUGGCUCUAUAAGUAUGGUGUGAAAUCUCCCGGCUUAACUGGGAGGGUGCGCCGUAGACUGUGGGGCUAGAGUGUGGGAGAGGAAAGUGGAAUUCCUGGUGUAGCGGUGAAAUGCGUAGAUAUCAGGAGGAACACCGGUGGCGAAGGCGGGUCUCUGGGCAGUAACUGACGCUGGAGGAGCGAAAGCGUGGGGGAGCAAACAGG
rnacentral:rRNA from 1 species